ensembl:lncRNA
AUGGAUUGUUUGCUCUUACUGUUUUGUACAACUUAAAUUUUGCCUGAAAAAUUAAAAAUGUAUAAGUACACUGAAAAAAAAAAAAACCCUUAUGGUAAGAGGAAUAUGAUUUAAUAAAGUAAGUCACUAUAAUCAUUUUAGAAUUAUCUAAGGAUUCUUUUUGGAGGUAUAAAAAUCACCCUAUAAAAAACUAACUUUUUUUUUUUUGUCAUUCUAUGUAAUUUUUGCUUCUUAUUUUUGCUGCAAUGACCAAAAACUGAAAUCAGCUUUGAUAAAAUUGCAAUGAAUACAUUCUUUAGAUGGAUCAGCAAAAAUCACAGUACACAUUGUGUACUGUAAUAUAACACAGCCGUGCUUUAAGUCUAGACUAUUAAAAUAAUCUUUAUCAACUUUAAUGUCAAAAUAAAUGUUUUACUUACCCAAACUACUUCUGCCUUCCUGUUGAUAUUUUAUUUAGUUUUUCCAAUUAUGAUUAAAAAACAACAUCAAACAACUCAGUGUAUGGUAUGAUUUGCAUGAAAUUCUCCUGAACUGCAAAACCACCUGAUUUUAGCUUUUUCAAAAAGCAUGAUUUUUACUAUACAUUAAAAACAUAGUCAUUCAAUGUUUAGUAUCACAAAAUCAACACCCACAAUAACAAGACAAUCACUGCUACUCAAUGGUCUUGGCGAGACGAUGCUUUAAAAUAUUUACAAUUCACAACAGGAGAGAGUCUGAUUAACGCUUGUGUGUGUGUGUGUGUGUGUGUGUGUGUGUGUGUUUAGCACGGUUCGACAUUUCGGGGGGAAAAAGCGCUGAAGAACCGCCAAAAAAAAAAAAAAAAAAAAUUGUUUUGGUUGAAGCGGACUAGCCCAGGCCGUCUUUACGCCGUUCAAUCUCUAUGUGCAAGGUAAACGAAAGAAAGGCUAGGGCAUGAUUUUGUUCAGUUGGUCCGUGCUUACGUAGCCACACGAGGUGAGGAAUUCUUUGUCAGGCACGGGCAGCGCGGUGGCGUUGAGCACGAGGCCCUGGGGAGACUGUACUAUGUGAAUGGAGGUAUAGUCCGGCACCGGCAUCUCGGGAUUGGAAGGGCCUCCCGCGCUUCCGGGACUCACAGCAGUAGUGGUAAGGCUUUCCGUGGUGAUGUAAACGUCUUCCUGGCUGAAGCUCGGCUCCGCCCGCGGCUCGGCCUCCGCCCGGGGCGCCGCAGAAACGCACUUUUUCGCCUCGGCCUCGCAGAAGUAGGUGUUGUCCAGGAGGAAGUUCGCCUGGCACCGUGACGCCAUUUCCGGGUGCCCGUCGCCCUGCGCUGUCCCUGCCUUGUUUUUCUGUCCGGGUGAAAGAACGACACUUCCGGCGGGAGUAAUGUCGCUCACCUGCGCGUAAAAGUCAAUGUUGGCCAGCGAACUCUGGUUGCCCGGCUGAGAGUGGCCAGGCGGGCCGGCGGACUCCGUCCCGCCGGCGACGAGCGGCCUCGGUUUGCUGCCCUCGGAGAGGGUGGUGCCGUUGGCCGGGAGGGUCGUCGGGCUGUCGCCCUUAGACGGCCCGUCGCUCUUGUGCUCGAGGAAUGAGAGAUCCGCUUUCCCCCUCAUCCUGUGUGACUGAGUCACGUCUGAAGUCCCGUCGCAAGAGUCACUGGCGCUCAGAUCCGUCUCCAGGAUGUCGGGCUCGCAACAGCUGGUCCGCCCGGAGUCGUCGUCCUUGGCCCCCAGGGCUCAUCUGGGGAAAUGUUACAUAAAGUGUCUCACUGAACUCCCCAAAUUUAUCCGAAGUAC